UACGUAGGGUGCGAGCGUUAUCCGGAAUUAUUGGGCGUAAAGCGCGCGCAGGCGGUUUCUUAAGUCUGAUGUGAAAGCCCACGGCUCAACCGUGGAGGGUCAUUGGAAACUGGGGAACUUGAGUGCAGAAGGGAAAAGCGGAAUUCCACGUGUAGCGGUGAAAUGCGUAGAGAUGUGGAGGAACACCAGUGGCGAAGGCGGCUUUUUGGUCUGUAACUGACGCUGAGGCGCGAAAGCGUGGGGAGCAAACAGG
rnacentral:rRNA from 1 species